UGGGUCAGCAUUUUUGAGAAGUAAUGAUUAGCCAGGGUGGGAAAAGUCCAGAUUAGUAUUAAGUGCUUGCAUGUUAUGCACAGAAUUAGCUAACCCCAAGCCUGUGACUUAUUAUUCAGUCUGUCACCAACAGCUUUACUAGCCAGAAGGGACAGGCAAGGUCAGACAGUGUGGCGAAACCUGGGGUUGGACAGGCUGCUGCCGGCAGGUCUGAGCUACACGGAUCUGCCACCAUCAAGAGCUAAUAAGGAACAGCAGACAGUUACUGAGGUACCACUGCACCAAGCCACUGCAAUCUUUAAAGUAAAAAGAAACAUCCUGAACAAAACCAGGAUCACCAUUCCUAAACAAGUUACCUGUCCUCGUGGAAUGCUGUAGGAAACUGCCAUACAUGGGUGGCUUAACCCAGAGAGAUGUAUGUCCCACCGUUCUGAAGGCUGAUGCUGACAGAACAAGCAAUGAAAGUCAAGGAAUCCAGAUGCUCGGAGGUGAAGAUGUCCUCAGGAUCCCAGGGACAUGCAGGAGACCGUCUACCUAUGGCUGCUCUCCUCCUGCCCCUAGAUUUGCACAACACCCCUGGAACUGCUCAGCAUGUGGGAAGAACAUCCAUGGUGAC